GGGGGGGUGGCUCAGUGGUAGAGCCUCUGCUUGCCAUGCAGAAGGUCCCAGGUUCAAUCCCCAGCCUCUCCA